rnacentral:rRNA from 1 species
UACGUAGGGGGCGAGCGUUGUCCGGAUUUACUGGGCGUAAAGCGCUUGUAGGCGGUCCACCAAGUUUGGGGUGACAGUUGCCGACUUAAUCGGCAAAGUGCCUCAAAGACUGGCGGACUUGAGGGCCACAGAGGGACAUGGAACUCCAGGUGUAGUGGUGAAAUGCGUAGAUAUCUGGAAGAACACUAAAGGCGAAGGCAGUGUCCUGGGUGGUCGCUGACGCUGAGAGGCGAAAGCCAGGGGAGCGAACGGG